CGGGUAACCUACCCAUCAGAGGGGAUAACACUUGGAAACAGGUGCUAAUACCGCAUAACAGUUUAUGCCGCAUGGCAUAAGAGUGAAAGGCGCUUUCGGGUGUCGCUGAUGGAUGGACCCGCGGUGCAUUAGCUAGUUGGUGAGGUAACGGCUCACCAAGGCCACGAUGCAUAGCCGACCUGAGAGGGUGAUCGGCCACACUGGGACUGAGACACGGCCCAG
rnacentral:rRNA from 1 species